CAUUCCGUAUCCUGUUUCUUUGCUUUUAUGUGGAUAGUGCGUAUUUAUUUAUGUUCAAUGUUAGGUUAAAUUUUUUUGUGUUAGUGUUUAGUAAGUAAAUUUUGUGGUGAUAUAUGUUAUGACAGGGAUUAGAUACCCCAUUAAUGUAUUUUUAAAAUGCUGUCCUGGUUUUGUAACUAAAAUGGUUUGGCAGUGAGCGAUUCUUGUUAGGGGAAGAUGCAUAGUAAAGGAUGGUCCACCUAUUAUUUUGCUCUUGUUAUGUUGGUGUAUAUCUGGUUUGAUAUUAUCGUUUAAUGGUUUGAGUUUGUGUAGUUUUAGUUAAGCCAAGUCUAUGUGCUGCUUAUAGGAGUUUUUGUGUGUUACAUUAAUAAGGGUGUUAUUGUAAUAUGAUAUUAUUUAGGACUUAAUAGUAAUGUUUAAAUAAGUUUGUUGAUGUGAAAUAGGUUUAGCUCUGUAACACACGGGAA
rnacentral:rRNA from 14 species